rnacentral:misc_RNA from 1 species
GAUGAAGAACGCAGCGAAAUGCGAUAAGUAGUGUGAAUUGCAGAAUUCAGUGAAUCAUCGAAUCUUUGAACGCACAUUGCGCCCGCCAGUAUUCUGGCGGGCAUGCCUGUCCGAGCGUCAUUUCAACCCUCGAACCCCUCCGGGGGGUCGGCGUUGGGGAUCGGCCCUUUCACCGGGUGCCGGCCCCUAAAUACAGUGGCGGUCUCGCCGCAGCCUCUCAUGCGCAGUAGUUUGCACACUCGCACCGGGAGCGCGGCGCGUCCACGUCCGUAAAACACCCCAACUUCUGAAAUGUUGACCUCGGAUCAGGUAGGAAUACCCGCUGAACUUAAGCAUAUCAAUAAGCGGAGGA